rnacentral:rRNA from 1 species
ACGCUCGACACCUACGGGAGGCAGCAGUGGGGAAUAUUGCACAAUGGAGGAAACUCUGAUGCAGCGACGCCGCGUGAGGGAAGAAGGUCUUCGGAUUGCAAACCUCUGUUGUCAGGGACGAUGAUGACGGUACCUGACGAGGAAGCCACGGCUAACUACGUGUCAGCAGCCGCGGUAAUCUGAGCGGGCUGGCAAGGC